rnacentral:ncRNA from 2 species
AUAAUAAUAGGUUAUGAAGUUAACCUUUAACUGCUUAUUAAAAGCUAAUGACUUCUACAAAUUU